GAGGGAGGUACCUGCGGGAGGCCCGCGGGCCCGGCUGCCGCCGAGAGCGCUGCAAACCCGCCGAGCGCCGCCCCGGCUCGACCUUCCGCCGCCGGGGCGCCUGGCUUGCCUGCUUUUCUUUCUUUUUUUUUUUUCCCCUUCCCUUCCCCAACUUGACCUCUAAGCUUGCUAUUCGGUUAAAAGCGCACCUGCGACACUGUGAUUUUUCUAAUCGGUGGCAGGUUUGAGCUUGCCCUGCCCUCAGACGCAGAGUUCUUUGCCUUCUUUUUAAACAGGCCACAGCUGUGACAGGAGGGCUGGAAGACGCUGAAGACCACCUCUUAACUAAGAACAAACUUAGAUUUUUCUGCACCUCUUGGAAACGGUACAGGAAUAAAGGGCCCACGGCCGCGGGCUGGUCUGUGCGUCUCCGUCCUCACGUGCACGCUCUCUAGCUGGUUCUCCGCACCUGACCAACAGCUGCUCAAAGAUACCUGACACACCGUAAGCAUCCAGAAGAUUGUCUGGCAUCUGACAGGCUCUCAACAAAUAUGUACUGAAUUGAAUUGAAAGUAAUUUGGUUCUCUAAUUACUAAAUCAGACUCCAAAUUGUGCUCCAUGGGGCUGAGGCAAGAAGUUGUCAAGCUAUUUGGCCUUGGAAUUCAGUCAUCGAGAGAGCUGCCAACUGAGCUCCGCCUUCAACAGGAGAGUGAGUUUGCUUCACUCUUCUCUGACCUCCAGCACAGAAGUAUCCUGAAAUUUUACAGACAAAGAGCAAAAGAAACCUGGUUUAUGGUGGCAUAGAGAAGCAUGAAAGAGUAAGCCUGAAGAAUUUGCUGAAAUGAUGGAAUAAGCUCCUGACUACAGAAUGGGGUUUAAGAUCAAGUUUAACUAGAUCACCUGGAGGCAAGGAGUUCUCAGGAACAAACAUGUGAAGCUAAAUUCAUCAGGAACUUCGGAGUGUUGAAAGUGCUAUCAGGAUGAAAACCGCCACCAGCUGCUGCUAAGAAGCUGUCAUCAGUCAGCAUCUUGGGACACUUCCAAACCUAACUUGCUGGGCAGUCCAAAGCAAUGGGUGUUCUGUUUAUGCUAUAAUUCUUAAGAGUUGAGAAAGUAGCAAUUAGUGGGAAAACUAUAGCUGAUGUUUGUACUGGAAGAAGUCCAGUGGGGUAUCUUGUCAAGAUAGCAGUUACUUUUUUAAUAUUUGAAGGCUCAGUCCUGCUAGAGGUUGUUGUUGGGGCCCAAGGUCAUCAGCAGAAUGAUAGAGCAGUUCCAUCUGUUCUAUUCCCUGUAAAUUCGUCGUCCUUAUUUGAUCUAUUUAAUAUAGACUUGUGUGGGGCCUACAUCACCGGCUUUGGGAUAAUUUUUGGAAUUGCUUGACAGGAUAUAAAUAUAACUUUUCAUUAAAGGGAUAAUAGAAUAUAGCCUUAUUUUAAAGGCAGGGCAGCACUGUCCUUUGAUAGUAACACUAUUGAUGCCAGAGCACUCUGCAGUUUGCUGGAAGGAAACAACAGAAGGUGCUGAAGAUUUUUACUGACAAUACAAAUUGGAGACUUAUCUGAAUUCUCCUACCAGAUAGAGACCUCUCAAAGGACGCAAGGAAGCUAAAAAUGAAACCAAAGAAUGCUUACACAUCUUCAAAGUUUAGACUCUGUAAUCAAUUUGGAUUCAUGAAAUGUAUUCCUAUACCUUCAAGAGAAACUCUUCCCUAACUCAGGAGGUCUUUGGCAGCCUGGACUAUGCCUUGCCCACCCUGAUGACUGUAUCUCUCUCUAGGUGGGCUUGUGCUGGGUAAUUGGCUUGCCUGCUUCCUUGUACUUUAAGAUGUUUGUCGGGCUGGUACUUUUCUCUUUGUACUGCAAGUAAAAAACCCAUAGGGCCCAAUUACCGGAGAUGCCUCUUUUCUCUAAUAGCAACAUCAGUGCCCAGAUCCUGGUUUCUUAAUACCAAGAAUGGGACUUCUGUUUAUUUUUAUUUGCUACUAAGAUGAAUCCUUUAAAACUGAGGAACUGCAGUUCCUUCGGAAAAUAUGUCACUGUUGCCAACUGCCAUGAAAACAAUGAAAUAAAAGGGAAGCUAAGCUCUAA